rnacentral:lncRNA from 10 species
UUUGCUGUUGGUGGGGGCAGGGAGCAUGGUACAGGGGUGACUGAGUUCCUGCUUUGUUAGUUCCCACUGAAACUGAUUGACAAAAAGGGCCUGGCACCUCUCUCUUCUCUCUCUUUCUCUCUCUCACCAUGUGAUCUAUGCAUGCCUGUUCCCGUCUGCUUGCACUAAGAAUGGAAACAGCCUAAGUUCCUCACCAGAAGCAGAGGCUGGCACCAUGUUUGUUAUGCAGCCUGCAGAACCGCUGGGGACAGCUCUCUGAAAAUAGGAAUAAAUAGUGGCUCCUCGAUAAACACCUUCUUGCCUACAGCAUGUGUGACUGCAAACACAUUCCCACUUCAACUAAUCCAAGACGAGAAGGAUGACAAAAUAAGAGAAAUCAUGGGAAAAACUGCCCAUUUCUGUUUUGUCCACUUUGCUUUGGGAAGUGAGAGCUAUAGUCAUUAUCACCACAUCCCCUGGCAUCCAAUUCCGAUUAAUAAUUCAAUUCCAGCUUUCCUGGAAGCCAGAAGUCAAAAUAUACUUGGGAUUUCUAUAAAUAUUUUUUAAUUAUGACCAUCGAACUCCAAGUACUUCAGAUUUGGAACUCGGACUGCUUUCCUUGCUCCUCAGCCUGCAGAUGGCCUAUUGUGGGACCUUGUGAUUAUGUAGUGAGACGAGCAUGAGUGGAGCAGGAGACGGCUGUCCCCCACCCACAAGGAAUAUCAGAUGAUGGUUCAGCGAUCAUCACAUUGCCUCUCUGAAAGUGAUAAAUUGGCAGCUGGCACCAGGGAGAGGCUAUUUCCUGAUGGCCCACACCUGUUGCACUAAGAUGUUAAUCGAAUGCAGAUUCCAGGGAGAAACAACUUCCUGGGCAUGUGCGUAAGAGACAAAAUGGCAGGUAUGACCUUCUGGGGACACUCCACCAGAAAAGGGAAGAAAACCUCAGAUGGGCAUGCAUAUAACUUCCUAAACACACUGCUCACACUCUCCUCCCAAGGGUAAGGAGGGCACUGCACAUGCAGGCAGCCCAUCCUAAGGGAAGCAUCCUGGGAAAGGGGUCAGUCUAUAUGGUUCUGGGAUCAAGAUUAAACACCACAUUAGACCUUCAAGUUGCCCACUUGGGUCUCUUCUAUGUGUAUUUUUCUUUCCUUUCUUUUCUGCUCUAAAGCUUUUUUAAAUAAACAUACACAUCCCUCCUCUGAAACUUGCCUUGGUCUCUUUUUCUGCCAUAUGCAACUCAGUCAAAUUAUUUCUUCUGAGGAGGAAAAAAUUGAGGUAGCUGCAUUCCCAUACAGAUUCACCAUCGGUAACUCAGAUACCUUCUACUGGCCAUAUGUUUGGUGUUCUAUUCAAGAAAUAAUUGCUAAAGCCAAUGUCUUAAAGUGUUUUUCUUAUGUUUUUCUUCUAAGAGUUUUACAGUUUCAGGUCUUACACUUAAGUAUUUAAUUAAUUUGAGUUGAUUUUAUGCAUGGUGUAGGAUGUGUGUAAUAUUCAGUUUUUCUAACACUAUUUGUUGAAGAGACUAUUCUUUUUCCACUGUGUAUCCUUAGAAGCAUUGCUGAAGUGUUGUUG